GAAUAUUGCACAAUGGGCGCAAGCCUGAUGCAGCAACGCCGCGUGAGGGACGACGGCCUUCGGGUUGUAAACCUCUUUUAGUAGGGAAGAAGCGAAAGUGACGGUACCUGCAGAAAAAGCACCGGCUAACUACGUGCCAGCAGCCGCGGUAAUACGUAGGGUGCAAGCGUUAUCCGGAAUUAUUGGGCGUAAAGAGCUCGUAGGCGGUUUGUCGCGUCUGCUGUGAAAACUGGAGGCUCAACCUCCAGCCUGCAGUGGGUACGGGCAAACUAGAGUGCGGUAGGGGAGAUUGGAAUUCCUGGUGUAGCGGUGGAAUGCGCAGAUAUC
rnacentral:rRNA from 1 species